rnacentral:sRNA from 2 species
UAUUUGCUUCCAGUAUUACUGCGUAAGAGCAGAUAUCAAUGAACGAUUAAGCCAGCAGUCAACUCUCGUACUGGAUGGACGGGGUGAGUUCUUGUAUGGCCAAUGCACAUACACCACAGCUCACGGAUUAAAAUCAGGCAAAAUAAAAACUUGCCGGGGUAUUGAAUCUACUAAUAUGAGUUUGAAUCAUCCUCCUCUUCUAGCCGCAACACGGCAAUAGCAACAAUCGCUGCCGCGGGCAUUGCAUAUCGCUUUUACGCGUGAUCCAGGGCAAGACAGGGAAGUUUGGUACAGCCCAAAUGGCAGCAGCAGUAUAACACAGAAGGGCAGCCACAGAAGACGGGAGACGGCGGCAAGUCAGGGAGAGCAAAGGAAAUGCCGUGAAGCGGUCCGUCUCUCAAUAUUACACAAUAGUGUAUGCAUUGAAAGCUUGGACUAAUCAAUGGUUUCGGUACGCAAGCGGCAACUAAAUGAAAUGGGUUUUUUGAAGGAAGAACGAAUCUAUGGACUGUUAGUUGGGGCAAUCGGGUUA